rnacentral:rRNA from 1 species
UACGGAGGGUGCAAGCGUUACUCGGAAUUAUUGGGCGUAAAGCGCGUGUAGGCGGUUUAGUAAGUCUGAUGUGAAAUCCCUGGACUCAAUUCAGGAAGUGCAUUGGAUACUGCUAGACUAGAGUUUUGGAGAGGUGAACGGAAUUCCUGGUGUAGAGGUGAAAUUCGUAGAUAUCAGGAGGAACAACAGAGGCGAAGGCGGUUCACUGGACAAUAACUGACGCUCAGACGCGAAAGCGUGGGUAGCAAACAGG